rnacentral:rRNA from 1 species
CAGCAGCCGCGGUAGUACGUAGGGUGCGAGCGUUAAUCGGAAUUACUGGGCGUAAAGCGUGCGCAGGCGGUUCGUUAAGACAGAUGUGAAAUCCCCGGGCUUAACCUGGGAACUGCAUUUGUGACUGGCGAGCUAGAGUAUGGCAGAGGGGGGUAGAAUUCCACGUGUAGCAGUGAAAUGCGUAGAGAUGUGGAGGAAUACCGAUGGCGAAGGCAGCCCCCUGGGCCAAUACUGACGCUCAUGCACGAAAGCGUGGGGAGCAAACAGGAUUAGAUACCCCAGUAGUCCCUGUCUCUUAUAC